rnacentral:lncRNA from 1 species
CCCGGCAGCAAGAACGCCAACAACUCGCAGAGCGACGUGGUGACGCUGCUGCUGGAGGUGCGCGCUGCCACGCGCCUGUCCGCCUUCGGGGUGUCGCGGCCCGAAGUUGUCACCGUCCCCGAGCCCGGCUGGGUGGCCCCGCAGCCCCCCCGGCGCCUGGAGGACAUCGGGCCCCCGCUGGAGUACGUCUACGAGGUGGUGAACGAGGGUCCCAGUGCCAUCAGCCAGGGCACGCUGGAGCUGAGCUGUCCCCUGGCGCUCGGUGACCGUCCCCUGCUCUACGUCGUCGGCCACUCGGGGCCACGCAACUGCACGGCCAGCCACGGCCUGGACCGGCUGCACCUGGCGGUGCGGGCAUGGGGGGGGAGCGGGGCGCUGGGGACACCGGGUGGCACUGGGUGGCACUGGGUGGCGAUGAGAGAUGGGCACUGAGGGCACUGGGUGGCACUGGGGACACCGGGUGGCACUGGGUGGCGAUGAGAGAUGGGUGCUGGGGACACCGGGUGGCUCUGGGAGGCACUAGGUGGCACUGGGGACACUGGGUGGCACUGGGUGGCAAUGAGAGAUGGGUGCUGGGGACACUGGGGACAUCAGGUAGCACUGGGUAGCACUGGGUGGCAUUGGGUGGCAAUGGGGAGCAAUGAGAGAUGGGUUCUGGGGACACUGGGGACAUCAGGUGACACUAGGGACACUGGGUGGCACUGGGUGGCGAUGAGAGGUGGGUGCUGGGGACACUGGGUGGCACUGGGUGACACUGGGAGGCAAUGAGAUAGGGGCGCUGGGGACACUGGGUGGCACUGGGUGGCAAUGAGAGAUGGGCACUGAGGGCACAGGGUGGCACUGGGGACACUGGGAGGCAAUGAAAUAGGGGCCUUGGGGACACGGGGUGGCACUGGGUGGCACUGAGGGAUGGGUGACAC